AGAGCGGCAGAGCUGUCCAACGCGCAGCAGCAACAACAAAGCAGAAAAAAGAGAGAGCGAGAGAGCUGUCAGCUGGGCGAAGAGCAAGACACAGACAAGCCGGCAUAUGAUAAUCCCCCCCACCCCACACUCCCGUGGGUUGACUUGAGUACCUUUGAACAAAAGAGCAGCAGGCUAACAUCAUUCGUGUUGUGUGUUGACACAAAGUGUGGAGGAUUUUCUGAACUAAAUUAGACUACGCCUAAUAUCACUUCCAUAAUAUACAAAUCUGCUUUACAUUUUCAUAAAGAAAGUGUAGUGCAAUAGCGUACAUUGAGUGCAUCAGCGAAAUACACCUGUUGCCAAGUAACUGUUGUCUCGUUUAGACAGUACUUCAAUCAGCUGGCGUCGGAGAGAGAGAGAGAGAGAGAGAGAGAGAGAGCGAAGUCUAAGCACAUGUUCAGAGAUCAAAUGAAGAAAACGACAAUAGACAGACAACAAACAGUCGACAAAAACCAGCUGCAAUUAUCUUUAAUGGAUAUUUCCUCUAUAUAGUCAGCUUCAUUGGAGUUCAAAUUCUUCACACAUUGAACAUGUCGCAAACAGACAUUAGAUCCCAGGAUAUUCCUCCGUAGCUCCUCGUCCUAUCGGGAUUUCCAAGGGAUGUGCUCCUGGCUGGACUGUGGCAGCAACUGGCUGUCCUGCUGCAAGCCAUUGCCAUGAUACCGCUGCUGUGUCGCUGAGUCGACAUUUUGGCGUCCCAUCCACUGCAGCAGGGACCAAUGAUCGACUGAGAGCCGGGAAAUAAUGCCAGCAACCCCCCAUUCAAACGCCGCCGAAUCAAACGCUGGGCUUCAGCUUCAAGACGCAGUAGUAUCCGGUUUUCCCCCACCAGACGGAGUGCUGUCAAAGCAUUGACGAGGCCUAAUCGAGACAGACCGAUUCCUAUUCAGCAUGACAGAAGCGCGCCCUUUGCAAGUUCCGAACCUAAGAAGCCAUCGUCAUCCUUCGUUGUUAUUAGAUUUAAGGAUAUAUAAGGAUUUAGAUAGUAGAUACAAAUGUUUUCCACUUAUUUAUUUUUGUAUA